AGGAUUAACGCUGGCGGCGUGCCUAACACAUGCAAGUCGAACGAGGUAGCAAUACCUAGUGGCAGACGGGUGAGUAACGCGUGGUCAACCUACCGUUGAGUGGGGGAUAACUAGCCGAAAGGUUAGCUAAUACCGCAUACGAGUCUCGGGGGCAUCCCUGGGCCUUAAAAGGAGCAAUCCGCUCGAUGACGGGACCGCGUCCCAUUAGCUAGAUGGUGGGGUAAUGGCCUACCAUGGCUCCGAUGGGUAGCUGGUUUGAGAGAGCGACCAGCCACACUGGGACUGAGAAACGGCCCAGACUCCUACGGGAGGCAGCAGUGAGGAAUUUUCCGCAAUGGGCGAAAGCCUGACGGAGCGACGCCGCGUGUGGGAAGAAGGCCUUCGGGUCGUAAACCACUGUCGAAGGGACGAUAAUGACGGUACCUUGGAGGAAGCCCCGGCUAACUACGCGCCAGCAGCCGC
rnacentral:rRNA from 1 species